GGGGCUGUAGCUCAGCUGGUAGAGCGCUUGCAUGGCAUGCAAGAGGUCACGAGUUCGAUCCUCGUCAGCUCCACCA
rnacentral:tRNA from 1 species